rnacentral:lncRNA from 1 species
AGAGGGUCAUAAUGAGGUCGUUUCCGCCUGAGGAAAAAUCUGGGGGCGGGGCUUCCGGCCUUCUUUUCGCUCGCGGCUGUUCUGACUCGUCUGGGUCUCCCUGACUCCGAAACGCUGGCUCUGGGCCGAGCGACUGUCCUGUUAGGUCUCCCGUGAGAAGGGCAUUUCCCAGGCAGGACUCCUAGGGCAGAUCCAUCGUUCAUGAAGAGCCACCCCUGUGAAAUGUGUGGCCUCACAGACAAUUGGCACUUGGAUGAGCAGCAGCCAACACAUGACAGGCAGAAACUGCACAGAUUUGUAGAAAUGGAA